GUGAUUUUCUCAGGCUCCCUUCUGACCAAUUCAUGGAACAACAGUAAUCAAUCACAAUUGUUUUAUAGAAUUGAGUUGCUGGUACCAUGUCACAACAAACUGAUUAAACUCUCCCAGAAGAAAUCAUCAACUUUAUUGGGACUAAUGGUAUCUAAGAUCGAAAAGUAAAGCUCAAGUGUGGAGCUCUCACAUCCCUGAUAUUCUAAAAAAAAUGGCUAACAGUUUACUCUCAAAUCAAACUAUAAACUUCAUAUUUAAAAUAACAGAAGCAUUUGAACAAGGAAGACAAAGAAUUGUGAUGGUUGCUUUUAUGUGUCUACUUGACUGGGAUACAAGAUCGAAAGGAGGCUGGCUAUCAAUAUCCUCAUCACUGAGAACUGUUGUUGAUUAUGUACCUACUUAUGUGAAAAUCAAAUCCAGGUGUUGGAGCCUGUGACACAUAAGGUACAAGCUUGAGCUAAGGAAGUGUCUACUUGAAUUGGGCAUACGUUCAUUCUUACUGAAUAACCAGUUAUGGUUUCCUGUGUGAGAAAAAUUGCCGGGAAGGAUAUUUCAGGAAGUGUGUGUUUUGGGUCCUUAAAUAGUAGAAGUAAGGAUAAAAAGGAUGAAUGGCCCAUUUUAGUUAAAAGUAUCUUCCACGCACAGUAUUUCUCCUUUGAAUACACAAUAUAUAUGGUUCAUAAUUGUUUUGCUUUGUUCUGAGACCAUUAAUAUUAGUGUAAAACAAAUAGAGGGGAAGGAUUACUGUUGUCUAUCAUUACCUAUAAAACUAAAUGUGUAUUUUCUGGUGUUUACAUUAUAUACUUGUUUACAACUUUUUAUUUUUCAUACUGUUAAUUGUGCACAAGGAAACACAGAGCUCUUCGCCCCAGAUCAUGCUGGUUUUGUUUAAUUUAUAUACUUAAUAAACUUUAGAGAAAGACAGUAGUUUUGGCA
rnacentral:lncRNA from 1 species